CAGCCGCCGCGGUAAUACGUAGGGUGCGAGCGUUAAUCGGAUUUACUGGGCGUAAAGCGUGCGCAGGCGGCCCGUUAAGACAGGUGUGAAAUCCCUGGGCUCAACCUAGGAAUUGCGCUUGUGACUGGCGGGCUCGAGUACGGUAGAGGGGGGUGGAAUUCCUGGUGUAGCAGUGAAAUGCGUAGAGAUCAGGAGGAACACCGAUGGCGAAGGCAGCCCCCUGGGCCUGUACUGACGCUCAUGCACGAAAGCGUGGGGAGCAAACAGGAUUAGAUACCCGGGUAGUCCACGCCCUAAACGAUGGGUACUAGCCGUUUGGUGCGCGAUAGCGCUGAGUGGCGAAGCUAACGCGUGAAGUACCCCGCCUGGGGAGUACGGCCGCAAGGUUGAAACUUAAAGGAAUUGGCGGG
rnacentral:rRNA from 1 species